ensembl:snRNA U4 U4 spliceosomal RNA
AGCUUUGUGCAGUGGAAGUGUUGUAGCCAAUGAGGUUUAUCCCAGGAGCAAUUAUUGCUAAUUGAAAACCUUUCCCAAUACCCCGCUGUGACGACUUGCAAUAUAGUCUAAAGUUGGCAACUUUUGAUGGUCUCUAUGGAGA